UAACGAGCGAGACUCUGGCCUACUAAAUAGUUGGCACAUUGCCACUGUGUGCACAACUUCUUAGAGGGAUUUUCGGUGUUCAGCCGCACGAAAUUGAGCAAUAACAGGUCUGUGAUGCCCUUAGAUGUCCGGGGCUGCACGCGCGCUACACUGGCAAAAUCAGCGUGCUUGUCCUCCCCCGAAAGGGGUUGUUAAACCGAUGAAAAUUUGCCGUGAUUGGGAUCGGACAUUGCAAUUAUUGUCCGUGAACGAGGAAUCCCUUGUAAGGGCGAGUCAUCAACUCGUCCUGAAUACGUCCCUGCCCUUUGUACACACCGCCCGUCGCUGCCCGGGACUGAGCCAUUUCGAGAAAACCGGGGAUUGUUGGCCUGACGGCUCUCGGGUCGUCUAGCCGAUGAGAACCGGCUUAAUCGCACUGGUUAGAACCGGGCAAAAGUCGUAACAAGGUAGCUGUAGGUGAACCUGCUGCUGGAUCAUU
rnacentral:rRNA from 1 species